rnacentral:rRNA from 1 species
GGACUACCGGGGUUUCUAAUCCCGUUUGCUCCCCUGGCUUUCGCUAUUCAGCGUCAGUUAUGGUCCAGGAUGCCGCCUUCGCCACCGGUGUUCCUCCAGAUAUCUACGCAUUUCACCGCUACACCUGGAAUUCCGCAUCCCUCUCCCACACUCUAGCCAUCCAGUAUCAGACGCAGUUCCCCGGUUAAGCCGGGGGAUUUCACGUCUGACUUAGUUGGCCGCCUACGAGCCCUUUACGCCCAGUAAUUCCGAACAACGCUAGCCCCCUUCGUAUUACCGCGGCUGCUGGCAC